AUUGAACGCUGGCGGCAGGCCUAACACAUGCAAGUCGAACGGUAACAGGAAGCAGCUUGCUGCUUUGCUGACGAGUGGCGGACGGGUGAGUAAUGUCUGGGAAACUGCCUGAUGGAGGGGGAUAACUACUGGAAACGGUAGCUAAUACCGCAUAACGUCGCAAGACCAAAGAGGGGGACCUUAGGGCCUCUUGCCAUCGGAUGUGCCCAGAUGGGAUUCGCUAGUAGGUGGGGUAACGGCUCACCUAGGCGACGAUCCCUAGCUGGUCUGAGAGGAUGACCAGCCACACUGGAACUGAGACACGGUCCAGACUCCUACGGGAGGCAGCAGUGGGGAAUAUUGCACAAUGGGCGCAAGCCUGAUGCAGCCAUGCCGCGUGUAUGAAGAAGGCCUUCGGGUUGUAAAGUACUUUCAGCGGGGAGGAAGGGAGUAAAGUUAAUACCUUUGCUCAUUGACGUUACCCGCAGAAGAAGCACCGGCUAACUCCGUG
rnacentral:rRNA from 1 species